rnacentral:lncRNA from 1 species
AUGGCAGGAGAGUCACACAGUCUACCCCAACCAAAUGGAGAGGCCUUAGAAGCUCCCUCCCGCUGUUCAGAGGUAAUUAAAAUACAGUACCCUCUGCAUGUAAAGAAUGAAAAGGCAAGAAAAGAUUACAAAAUGAAGCUCCUUAUGGAAAAUCAAGAGACACUUUUUGCUGACUAUUACAAAAAUGGGAACAUCAGCAACCUUAUCUUCCACACAAACCAUCCCCUGGCAUGGCACAGUGCUAUAUUAGCACACUACCCCUCUGUUACGAGAGGGGGGAUUAACGAGGGGUGGAAACUCAGAAUACUUGACAACGAGGACUCUGAGUUAAGUAAUAUAAAUAUCUAUAAGUCCGGAACAGUGAUGGUACAGCGUAACCACAAACAGUUUCAGCUGGACUUUCACCUAAUCAAAGAAUUAGCUCAGCAGGAGAAACUCUCCCUUGAUAAAGAUACCCCCACCCCGAGAGGAUCAGACCAGACCUCUUCAUUAUGUAACCCCACAGAUGAGCAACCCCCAGCGGAGGGUCAACCUCCCAGCACAGAUUACCACUCCCUCAUUGAAAUGAAGGACAAAUUCACCCAGCUGGAGAUAAGGCAGGUGGAGCUGGAACAGCAGGUGAUUACACUUCAGUCAGCACAGACCCAGACAACAGUCCAGCACAACAACAGCCCCUUAACCAGACCCGGAGAGCUGGAGGUGGACAGAGACAUAUCUGCACUUUGGACAGUGGUGAGACAAAUACAACAGGAGAAAGAGGAGCAGAACAGAGCACUAGAGGAGAGUAUCAGACUGCUGGUGGAGGAGAGGUUGAGGGGGAUGGAGGAGAGGGUGAGGGGGAUGGAGGAGAAGUUGAGGGGGACGGCGUGUGACAGAGAACAACCCACUAGAGAGGUGGCCACCCCCACAGAGAAGCCAGCAGAACAGCCCACCUCAGCACCCAACAAAAGUCUCGACACCACAGCAGAACAGUCCACACCAGACCCUGACCAUAGAGUCGACACCACAGCAGAACAGUCCACACCAGACCCUGACCAUAGAGUCGACAUCACAGCACAACAGACAAAUGAAGAACCCCAAGCCCAGAGGCUCUCACCCCCUCUGAGCACCCCCCCUGUCAGCCACCCUGAUAGCCCUUCUGUCAACCCCCCCACACCCACUGAGGACAAACACAAGACACAGAUUGUACUACUUAUGGACUCAAAUGGGAAAUAUAUAGAAGAAAAAAUACUUUUUCCCAAACACAGUGUGUCUAAACUCUGGUGUCCAAACACCCAGCGUGCCCUAGACCUUCUGUCUGAGGCCAAACUAGGCUCACCCAGCCACAUAAUAAUACACACAGGCACAAACGACCUGAGAGCACAGCAGGAAAGAGUGGCCACAGCACUGAAGGGAGUGAUUGAAAAGGCUUCUUCUACUUUCCCCAACGCACAAGUGGUUAUCUCCACCCUGCUACCACGAAAAGACUUCCACCCCGCCACAAUACAGCGGGUAAAUGCAAGUAUUUCCCGUGACUGUGCCUCAAAACCAAACGUUUUCCUGGCCCACCACUCCACCCUGGACUUGAACAGCCUCUAUGACCAGGUCCACCUCUACAAGGCAGCAGUGCCCACCUUUGCCCGGACUCUAAAGGACAUCGCUCUCAAACGUAUCCCCAACACUCCACACAGGAGCAACAGAUCAAUAGACACCCCACCCAGACCAGCGAGACACCCUCCCAGAUCUGCAGGACCUCCCCCUGGACCUACACAUAGAGGACCCACGCCAAGAGGAAUUACAUCCAGACCACAGUACACCCAGACACAUCCACACCCCCACCCCAACCAAUCAACACCCCCCCACGUCAACCAUGCCCACACUCCAUUUAGGCCCCCUCAGAUCAGACCUAUGCCACUCCUG